GCCAGUGUGGGAUAGUGGUUUCAGUUCUGGGACUACGACUCCGGAGACCAGGGUUCGAAUCCCAUCUCGGGCA